rnacentral:misc_RNA from 1 species
AACGCACAUUGCGCCCGCGAGUAUUCUCGCGGGCAUGCCUGUCCGAGCGUUGUUAAGCCCACUCGAGCCCUGCUCGGCGUUGGGGCGCGCGGGUCUUAGCGACCCGCGGCCCUGAAGGCUAGCGGCGGCGGCCCUGGGAGCCCUCUGCGUAGUGAAACCCUCGCACCGGAAGCCCUUGGCCCGCCAGCCUCGACAUGUUUUAUAACGGUCAACCUCGGAUCAGGUAGGGAUACCCGCUGAACUUAA